rnacentral:rRNA from 1 species
UGGGGAAUAUUGCACAAUGGGGGAAACCCUGAUGCAGCAACGCCGCGUGAGUGAUGACGGCCUUCGGGUUGUAAAGCUCUGUCUUCAGGGACGAUAAUGACGGUACCUGAGGAGGAAGCCACGGCUAACUACGUGCCAGCAGCCGCGGUAAUACGUAGGUGGCAAGCGUUGUCCGGAUUUACUGGGCGUAAAGGGCGCGCAGGCGGGAUAAAAAGUCAGUGGUGAAAUCCUACAGCUUAACUGUAGAACUGCCUUUGAUACUUUUAUUCUUGAGUUCGGGAGAGAGAGACGGAAUUCCAGGUGUAGUGGUGAAAUACGUAGAUAUCUGGAAGAACACCAGUUGCGAAGGCGGUCUCUUGGUCCGACACUGACGCUGAGGCGCGAAAGCGUGGGGAGCAAACA